UACGGAGGAUCCGAGCGUUAUCCGGAUUUAUUGGGUUUAAAGGGUGCGCAGGCGGGUAUAUAAGUCAGAGGUGAAAUUCCACGGCUCAACUGUGGGACUGCCUUUGAUACUGUAUGCCUAGAGUAUAUUUGGAGUGGGCGGAAUGUAGCAUGUAGCGGUGAAAUGCUUAGAUAUGCUACAGAACACCGAUCGUGAAGACAGCUCACUAAACUAUAACUGACGCUCAGGCACGAAAGCGUGGGGAGCAAACAGG
rnacentral:rRNA from 1 species